CCUGGCGGCAAUAGCGCGGUGGUCCCACCUGACCCCAUGCCGAACUCAGAAGUGAAACGCCGUAGCGCCGAUGGUAGUGUGGGGUCUCCCCAUGCGAGAGUAGGACACUGCCAGGCAUCAA
rnacentral:rRNA from 1 species